AUUGAACGCUGGCGGCAGGCUUAACACGUGCAAGUCGAGCGGAGAUGAGGUGCUUGCACCUUAUCUUAGCGGCGGACGGGUGAGUAAUGCUUAGGAAUCUGCCUAUUAGUGGGGGACAACAUUCCGAAAGGAAUGCUAAUACCGCAUACGUCCUACGGGAGAAAGCAGGGGAUCUUCGGACCUUGCGCUAAUAGAUGAGCCUAAGUCGGAUUAGCUGGUUGGUGGGGUAAAGGCCUACCAAGGCGACGAUCUGUAGCGGGUCUGAGAGGAUGAUCCGCCACACUGGGACUGAGACACGGCCCAGACUCCUCCGGGGGGCAGCAGUGGGGAAUAUUGGACAAUGGGGGGAACCCUGAUCCAGCCAGGCCGCGUGUGUGAAGAAGGCCUUAUGGUUGUAAAGCACUUUAAGCGAGGAGGAGGCUACUGAGACUAAUACUCUUGGAUAGUGGACGUUACUCGCAGAAUAAGCACCGGCUAACUCUGUGCCAGCCGCCGCCGUAACAC
rnacentral:rRNA from 1 species